GAUGAAGAACGCAGCGAAAUGCGAUAAGUAAUGUGAAUUGCAGAAUUCAGUGAAUCAUCGAAUCUUUGAACGCAUCUUGCGCUCCUUGGUAUUCCUUGGAGCAUGCCUGUUUGAGUAUCAUGAGCAAAUCUCAAAGUCAAUUCCUUUUGUUGAUUCAAUUGGUUUUGCUUUGGACUUGGAGGCCUUGCAGAUUUCACAGUCUGCUCCUCUUAAAUGCAUUAGCUGGAUCUCAGUAAUUAUGCUUGGUUCCACUCGGCGUGAUAAGUAUCACUCGCUGAGGACACUGUUAAAAAGGUGGCCAGGAAAAUACUGAUUGAACCGCUUCUAACGGUCUAUUAAGUUAGACAAUUACCCUUAAGUUUGAUCUCAAAUCAGGUAGGACUACCCGCUGAACUUAAGCACAUCAAUAAGCGGAGGA
rnacentral:misc_RNA from 1 species